AGUGAACGCUGGCGGUAGGCCUAACACAUGCAAGUCGAACGGCAGCACAGUAAGAGCUUGCUCUUACGGGUGGCGAGUGGCGGACGGGUGAGGAAUACAUCGGAAUCUACUUUUUCGUGGGGGAUAACGUAGGGAAACUUACGCUAAUACCGCAUACGACCUACGGGUGAAAGCAGGGGAUCUUCGGACCUUGCGCGAUUGAAUGAGCCGAUGUCGGAUUAGCUAGUUGGCGGGGUAAAGGCCCACCAAGGCGACGAUCCGUAGCUGGUCUGAGAGGAUGAUCAGCCACACUGGAACUGAGACACGGUCCAGACUCCUACGGGAGGCAGCAGUGGGGAAUAUUGGACAAUGGGCGCAAGCCUGAUCCAGCCAUACCGCAUGGGUGAAGAAGGCCUUCGGGUUGUAAGGCCCUUUUGUUGGGAAAGAAAAGCAGCAGGUUAAUACCCCGCUGUUCUGACGGUACCCAAAGAAUAAGCACCGGCUAACUUCGUG
rnacentral:rRNA from 1 species